UGCUAUAUUUUUUUUCUUUUUUUUCGAAAAGGGGGUUUACCCCAGCCUCUGCAUCAGAAAGAUGCAUACGGCUCAUAUUAUUAAAAAUAAAGUCCAGCAACAAAGUCGUCAAGUAUCGAGUUGCGAAGAUAAACAAAAGGCUCGAAAGAGCUCCAACCCAAAGCCACAACCGGCUGGCAAACACAAUAGGAGCACUACAUGCCUAUCCUAUUACAUGACCGUCAUCCAAAUCGGUUGAAGAUAACCCGCGCUACCAUCUCCCAUCGGAUAGACGCAGUAACCAAACGCUCCCUGGGCUCCGUCGGAGUGAGUAGCGACCACAUACGGAUGAAUGCCGUGGCCCUGAAGACAACCUGCAAAAAGUGAAUGUUUGUUGAUCUAUUAAAUACUAAAUCAUUUCUGCAAUUCCAUACUGCCCAAAGUAAAGCACAAACGCCAACACGUCUUGCAGUAUCGGAAUCAACCCCAUCAAGUCAUGUUCCAAAUAACAUAUUGAUAGAGGUGGGCUGAUUGAUAUUGAACGCAAUAUGAAUCGACCGCCACAGAAUCUUAGCCAACGGACAAUCGAGAAAGAGGUGUUUGAUGCUUUCGUUAUGAUCGCAAAAGCUACACCUAAAUGAGCCCACCCAGUUGCGUUUUGCCAGGUUAUCCUUAGUCAAAAUGACUUGUUUAUGCACAAACCACAUAAACACUUUGAUACGUAAGGGAACCUUUACUUUCCACACGUGAAUCGAGGAAGGGACAGCGCUAGAGUUAAUGACAUCCAGAUACAUAGAUGUAACCUGCUAUAUAUAUAUAUCUCCAUUAAUUUUGCACUUCAUGCUUUAUUAACAGACCAGACAAAGCAUUCUCUUCAAAAACGGACCAUUGUUCCAUAUAGAUGUAUGAAUAAUCAAUUCUUACAUGCUUAUGAUCCUUGGAGAGUUGUCACUGGUGUAGCUGCAUGUCAGCCUUUCCCAGACCAUAGUCUUUGGAACACAUGGGUCACCCAUCCAAUUCUUCUGCACCUCAUAAUUCGCUUUGAUCGCCAUGAUGGCAGAUACUGCAGUUAAUUGUUAAUCACAACAUGUUUUGAUUAGCAUGCGUGUUCGACCUGUGUGCCUAAAGAAUUAAUCAUAAGCUACAUGUCAGUUAUUUGCGUAGGAACGUACCAUCCUGGGAGUCAGUGGCAAUGUUGGUGGCGGAGAUGACGAAGAAAAACUCGACGGCACUGAUUACAGGUGGUAGCGUCGAGUUGGCGGUGGCGUACAUGGAGAUGUUGUACUUGUUGUCUCGGUAACGUGCAUUUCCAUUGGACACGAAGCCCGUGCCAAGGUAGUGUGGGCUAACAGGUUCGGGUAACUGCAUGUCGUUAAUGCUGAUGUAGAACUGGCGCUCGGCGUUGCUAGGAAGGAAUUGCGGCUCGGAGAAAUGCAUGAUGAUGAGAUAUCCUAGGGACUGGUUCGGGGGCUGAGGGUUGGGGCUCCAAAUGAUCUCGAGGUUCAUGGCGGCAUUUAGCGGCGUGACUGCUGUCUGCAUCACCAUCGAUGGUACCUCGAAGACAUCGCCAUCACUCUGCACCGUCUCCGUAGUUGAUAUGCUGCUCCACAUUUUUGCAUCACUCUUAGGGACUUGCCUCUAGCAAGUCACAUUGUAACUGGCCCCCUCUCAUCUGCCGUCCAAUGCAGAUCCAACGCAUGAGAUUUGCCCAAAGCAAAACAGCCCAUACCUACAGACUUGGCAAAAGCACAACUGCACAAGCAUAGAAACAGGGCCGACAUGGCACUCAAAACCUCUUCAGAUUGCCCAUUUUCACAAAUGCUAAUGCUAGUACAUAAUGACAACAGCAACAAAGCACUAAGAUAUUCCAAAUUACAUAUUUCACAGCCCACAUUUGACCAUUGUUGAGGAAAUCGUUAACUGAUAGCUGCUCGGUUGGCUGGUGAGUAGGGGAUUAAUCGGCUAAUCGGCAAGUUAAUCGGCCAUUUAAUCAAUUAAUCGAAUGAUUUAUCGGUUUAUAGGCUACCCGGUGACCCUACGAGUAGGGAUUUUUAAUCGGCAAGUUAAUUGGUUAAUCGGAUGAAUUCUUGAACAGGGCAUUUGGCUUAAUAAAAACACAAGAAACUGUCCAAAUUGCAUAUUAUGUACGGCAGCAACACAACACUGGAACCUGUCCAAAUUGUAUAGUUCUCAGCCUACACUUGCAGGAUUAGUGAAUACAGAAGAAACAAUGCCAGUAAAGUAAUGGAACCUUUUCAAACUGGACAAUUUUGACACUGAACACUGGAUAUAUUAGGCAAGUAUAGUUGUACACUUGGCUAUGUUUAAUCCAAAGAGUGAACCAGAUGCACACAUGAGCAGAGAUAGGCUAAAAUAAAAUCAGUACAUAUACAAUUUCAGAGAUAAGCUACAAUUUCAGAAAGGCGAGUCAAGAUGCUGCAGAUAUGCAAUUUUAUUAAGAUAAAAAAAGAAGUCAAGCAGAACAUAUAGUGCAUUUAUACGGCUGAUCUGGUGUACCAGGAAGAACAACUUCAGCCAAAGUAAAAUUCAGAAAAUGUUGCAGUCUGAAUAUGAACAGCAGGGGACUCACGAUAGAAUCAUCCAGAGAGGUUCCCGUCGAAUCGUCCGGUGCAGUGGCGGCGGAUCUCCUCCCUCCUCUGCAGCGACGGCGGAGCCCCUCGUCGCUCUACUCCAUGGAAGCGUAGCUCCUCCUCCGCGACGGCGCCGAGCUGCCUCGCUUCCAGGGGCACUUGCGCAGCUUUCCUCUCUCUCCCUGGA
rnacentral:lncRNA from 1 species